rnacentral:rRNA from 1 species
GGUGAACGCUGGCGGCGUGCUUAAGACAUGCAAGUCGAACGGCAGUCUUCGGACUGUAGUGGCGCACGGGUGAGCAACGCGUAACUGACCUACCCCAAAGUCGCGGAUAACGAUUCGGAAGAAUCGCUAAUACGUGAUGUGCUGUCAGAUUGUGUUCUGCCAGUAAAGAUUGAUUGCUUUGGGAUGGGGUUGCGUUCCAUCAGCUAGUUGGUGGGGUAAAGGCCCACCAAGGCGACGACGGAUAGCCGGCCUGAGAGGGUGGCCGGCCACAGGGGCACUGAGACACGGGUCCCACCCCUACGGGAGGCAGCAGUUAGGAAUCUUCCACAAUGGGCGAAAGCCUGAUGGAGCGACGCCGCGUGAGGGAUGAAGGUCUUCGGAUCGUAAACCUCUGAAUCAGGGACGAAAGACACUUCGGUGGGAUGACGGUACCUGAGUAAUAGCACCGGCUAACUCCGCGCCAGCAGCCGCAGUAACAC